UUCACUUGAUAUAUGUUCUGGCACUCAACUCAUGGAUUCCCAAGGUGACAUUGGGGUAAUCUAUGCAUAGGGGUUGGUGCACGUUCUCGUUUUUGUUUCUCCGGUAGAAAUCUUGGGGAACUCUUUGAGAUUCUUUGUGUUCGAUUGAGUAUUAUGAAUCUGAAUUUGUUUUGGUGUUAUUAGUAUGAACGGUUAGAUACAUCGAUCAGAA
rnacentral:lncRNA from 1 species